rnacentral:rRNA from 1 species
UACGGGGGGGGCAAGCGUUGUUCGGAAUUACUGGGCGUAAAGGGCGCGUAGGCGGUGCUCUAAGUCGGAUGUGAAAACUCUGGGCUCAACCCAGAGCCUGCAUCCGAAACUGGAGUGCUAGAGUUCUGGAGGGGGUAGCGGAAUUCCUGGUGUAGCGGUGAAAUGUGUUGAUAUCGGAAGGAACGCCGGUGGCGAAAGCGACACACUGGAUCUUGUCUGACGCUGAGGCACGAAAGCCAGGGGAGCGAACGGG